AGGAAUCUUGUUCAAAGAGUUGAUAGACUGGAGAGGGAGAUACUUUCAAUGAGUCAUUAAGUCAGCACACAAGAAAGUACUAUGAAAGAACUAUCAGGCAUUUAUAUGUGCCAGGCAUUGGACAAGGCUCUGGGAAUGCAGCAGUGAACCAGACAAAAAUCUGUGCCCUCCUGGAGCUUAGAUUCCAAAAUAGACAUUAAACAUACCAAAUAGGUACUCUUUAAGGUAAUCUAGAAAUUGGUGACCUCUGGCGAGAAAAAGAAGGGGAGAGGUUGUGGACUUGGAGACAAGGAGGUUGCAAUUUUCAGUAAGAUGAUCAAAAUAGAUGACAUCUGAGUGGAGAGUUGAAGAGAAUAUGGUGGCAACCUGCUUUCAAAUGAAUGGUAAGAGAGGUGACAUUAAGCUGAGAUUAGAAGUGUGCCUGAGAGUUGAUCAGACAGAAAGAUAAAUGGAACAAGCAUAAAGAAAGAGCCAGGUACCCUAAGGAACACAGAGAAGCCCAUUUUGCAGAAACAUAGUGAAUUCAGGUACAAUGGUAUAAACUGAGAUUACAAGAAUAGAUAGGGUUUUGGGAUGUUUUAGACACCACUUUAAAGAGUUUGCAUUUAUCCCAAAUGCAGUGGGAAAUCAUUAGGAAGUUUGUGGUAAGAGACUAACCUUAUAAUUAUGUUUUAAAAUAUUGUUUUGGUGAUCAUGUCUAAAUGGAGCAAGAAUGGUAGCAUAGAGCCCAAGAGGUAGGAGUUGCUUUGAUAAUGUAUUU
rnacentral:lncRNA from 1 species